rfam:Erinaceus europaeus unplaced genomic scaffold scaffold00176, whole genome shotgun sequence
GUCUAUGGCCACACCACCCUGAACACACCCGAUCUUGUUUGAUCUCGGAAGCUGAGCAGGGGCGGACUUGGUUAGUACUUGGAUGGGAGAAAAUAAUGAUGGAAGAUAAGACAUUUUUAGAAA